AAAUCAAGAUAAAUGCUACACAAGGGGAGGGAACAGAAAAGGUUAGGAUAUAAAGGAAAAGAGGAAAGUGUAGAAACUGUUUGUGUUAGGAAAAGAGAAUUAGGAAAAAAGAAGAAUGGGGGGUAGAAAGAAUAAAUUUGAGACCUAGAAGACACAGCCAAUGCUCUGUGCUCUUUAUCCUCCACCAAGACAGAGAUACCUUCUUGGUUUCAACAGGAUACAGGAUAAGCAUUGACCUUUCAAGUGAAAUACUGAUUGCAAAACAGACACAGUGGUCAAACCGUCCAGUGGAACAUCCAUUAAGUUCAUUCUCAGUUGGACUUCCUAAGAAAUGCUUUUUCUGUGUGUGGACUGCUACCUUUUGACCUUGGUCUUCAGCCAGUUCUACUCUGCAACCUUUACGCUGUGUUAGUUAUUCCCUUUUCCCACCUGACCCUCAUUAACAGCAACUUUCUUCCUGUUUUGUAAGAGAAAAAGGAAAUCUGUUCAUCCAGCCUGAUGCAGCCUAAGGUACUCAUUGCCAAUAAAACAGCCUCGCUGCAAAACAGUAGGGGAGUAGAAACAGACCAAGAACAACAUAGAAGAAAAUUUCAAGUGACAGAAAAUUAGAAAAUAUAACAGAACACUGACUAUUAAACUGUUGUAUGCAUAAAUUCCAGCCUCUCAUCCUCUCUUCCUUCUUCCUUAUAUGCCUGCUAUGUAAGAUGCAGUACUUUGCAGUACAGUGUUAUGUUCAGGGACAAGAUAGCCACAGCUUGCAGACACUGAGUUGACUGAUCCCUUGCAGAAACCUCCAAACUUCUACAGCUUGCAAAAAUAUGAAGACCUGUAAAUGUGGAACAGCUGGUGGAUCUGCAGAUUCCCCUGGCCAAGAGCUCCUUUACUACUCCUCCCUUCCUCGCUACUCCAAGUUUAUCAAGCAAACCAGUUCUUCCCCUCUGUGCAAUGUGCAUAGAUUAGCCCCUGCCUUUGGUUCUUUUGGCAGCUAUAGAGAUUAUUUUAACCUUUGUUAACUUCUUCAUUAGACAUCUUUCAGAAUAUUUCUUCUUGACUCUAGUAUAGAAAGGGCAUAUAUCUGAACUCUUAACAGGCUUCAUAUAGAGCCAGAGUAUUACUUCUUGACCAGCUUUUUCUAUAGCAAUUAACCUAGCUUAUGUCCACACAGAUAAGAUGCUAUUGUGCUCAAGUUAUAAAAUUAAAAUAUACAGAUUAAAAAAAAAAUAAAGCAAGAAUUAAGGGCUGUUUUCAUCAACAGUUAUUUCAGUGUGUACUAUGUGGAAGAUGAAAGAAAAGUGUUACAGAAGAUAUGAAUUACAGUAAUUACAUAAGCUUUGGAUAGCAGUCAUGAAUAGCUAAGUGUUUCUACAUGUGGAUAGUCUGCAAGAUCUGAAAUUUCAAAAAACAACAGAAGUGAGGAUGAUGAUUUUGCAAAGUAUGUUUAACACAUUGGGAGAAAGUGAAAAUUAUACUGGAAAAAUACCAUUGUAAAUUCAUCUAGAUCUGCUAGCCUAUGGGGAAAAACAAAUUGAAGGAAGAACAUCCAUUAGUAUUUGGAAUAAGGAAGUACGAAGUAAAGGCGGUCCGGGAAAUGACCCUGAGCAUGGCUUUGCCCCUCCUGGGCAAGGCAACCUCUGCUUUCGUCUGUCACAACUUCUGGAAUGCCUGUGGGAGACUUGAGUCUGUACAACCAGUGGCUGAAAAAGAAAGAUACAAAUGAAGAGCUCUAAAGAUGGAGAGCCCAGUUUUUGUCUCCAUUACGAUGCUGAGCCUUAAGGAUGAAGCAUUACCUCAAUAGUUUCACUAGUGAAGCAUAGCAAAGCACCAUGACACGUAUCUAUUAUGUUUUGAAGGUGUUUAAUUGCCUAAAUAAGAUGUUUAAUUAAUUAAAGUGUUUAAUUAAACAACUGGAUUGUUUAAUUAACCUUGCAAUGACAAAUGGCUCAGUCUCUUAUAGUUGAAAGGUGUCUAGAAUCCUAAGCUCCAAUUUUAUUGAAAAUUAUGCUCUCAUGAGAGAAAAUAACUAAAAUGAAGAUUGAAAUGAUACAAAUUCUUGAUUGUUGCCUUUUAUAUACCCUUUCAAAAUAGAGGCCACGUCUCUGGAAAUUUUUUUAAGGUGGUUUAUUAGCUGGGACAGAUAACAACACUGAUGCAAUAGCUUCUAUCUUACUGCUUGAUAUAAAGUACUGCAUCCUGAAUAUGAUGUUCAUUUGGUGAAGUUUUUACCACAUUGCAGUGGAACUUUCUUGUCCUUCCCCAAACAGUGUGAACCAACUUUCACAGCCACAAGAGAGUACCUGUGUGAUAACUGUGGCUGUGGUGGUGGGCACUGACAACCCUGCAAGGGAGGAACAGUCUUCUGAAAGCAACUGGAGCAGGGACAAGCUUUCACCUUACAAAUCCUAGCCAGAUGUGUCUGCAGAAAGACAUCAAGUCAGUAGUUCUUGAGUCUUACGUGAUGGCAACUCCUGCCUGGGCACAUGGCUGAAUGUGAAAGGUGCACACACCUGUGCAAGUUAUCUAGGCACCACCUCCCAGCUGAGCAUGCAGCUGCAAGCAAUGCAUGCUUGCCUAACCCACCUUUUCCUCCUGGUGUACCAGUUCGAGGAGAUGCUCAGACCUGUAGUAGAAACACAGAGCAUACAGGUGCUCAGUUAGCUUCUCCAUCCCUAUGUGCUGUCAGUUUGACAAACCACAGCAACUCCAUGACAUCCUUCAGUGUCUCCUUGUCUUGACAAGACCAAGGCAGCAAGCAAGGUGAUAGCUUCUCUCUGUGCAGCUCAGCAGACAGAACAGAGUGGAGCUGGUGUUGUCUCAGAAUGUCCAUUUCCCUCUCAUGUCAAAGUCUGGAUAAGUA